AGGGAUCAUUACAAGUGACCCCGGUCUAACCACCGGGAUGUUCAUAACCCUUUGUUGUCCGACUCUGUUGCCUCCGGGGCGACCCUGCCUUCGGGCGGGGGCUCCGGGUGGACACUUCAAACUCUUGCGUAACUUUGCAGUCUGAGUAAACUUAAUUAAUAAAUUAAAACUUUUAACAACGGAUCUCUUGGUUCUGGCAUCGAUGAAGAACGCAGCGAAAUGCGAUAAGUAGUGUGAAUUGCAGAAUUCAGUGAAUCAUCGAAUCUUUGAACGCACAUUGCGCCCCCUGGUAUUCCGGGGGGCAUGCCUGUUCGAGCGUCAUUUCACCACUCAAGCCUCGCUUGGUAUUGGGCAUCGCGGUCCGCCGCGUGCCUCAAAUCGACCGGCUGGGUCUUCUGUCCCCUAAGCGUUGUGGAAACUAUUCGCUAAAGGGUGUUCGGGAGGCUACGCCGUAAAACAACCCCAUUUCUAAGGUUGACCUCGGAUCAGGUAGGGAUACCCGCUGAACUUAA
rnacentral:rRNA from 1 species